rnacentral:rRNA from 1 species
GGUUUGACGGUACCUUUAAAGGAAGCACCGGCUAACUCCGUGCCAGCAGCCGCGGUAAUACGGGGGGUGCAAGCGUUGUUCGGAAUUAUUGGGCGUAAAGCGCGUGUAGGCGGUCUGAUUAGUCUGAUGUGAAAGCCCUGGGCUCAACCCAGGAAGUGCAUUGGAUACUGUCAGACUUGAAUACGGGAGAGGGUAGUGGAAUUCCUAGUGUAGGAGUGAAAUCCGUAGAUAUUAGGAGGAACACCGGUGGCGAAGGCGGCUACCUGGACCGAUAUUGACGCUGAGACGCGAAAGCGUGGGUAGCAAACAGGAUUAGAUACCCUGGUAGUCCACGCCGUAAACGAUGAGAACUAGGUGUCGCGGGUA